AGCUUCGCGCAGUGACGAUAUCGUAACCAAUGAGCUUAUACCGAGGUGCGAUUAUUGCUAAUUGAAAUAAAAUCCUAUUCAAUAGUGUAUCAUGUUUUCUACAAGGAAUUUAGAACAAUUUUAUUCUGAUAAUGGU